rnacentral:rRNA from 1 species
AUUGAACGCUGGCGGCAGGCCUAACACAUGCAAGUCGAACGGUAACAGGAAACAGCUUGCUGUUUCGCUGACGAGUGGCGGACGGGUGAGUAAUGUCUGGGAAACUGCCUGAUGGAGGGGGAUAACUACUGGAAACGGUAGCUAAUACCGCAUAACGUCGCAAGACCAAAGAGGGGGACCUUCGGGCCUCUUGCCAUCGGAUGUGCCCAGAUGGGAUUAGCUUGUUGGUGGGGUAACGGCUCACCAAGGCGACGAGCCCUAGCUGGUCUGAGAGGAUGACCAGCCACACUGGAACUGAGACACGGUCCAGACUCCUACGGGAGGCAGCAGUGGGGAAUAUUGCACAAUGGGCGCAAGCCUGAUGCAGCCAUGCCGCGUGUAUGAAGAAGGCCUUCGGGUUGUAAAGUACUUUCAGCGGGGAGGAAGGGAGUAAAGUUAAUACCUUUACUCAUUGACGUUACCCGCAGAAGAAGCACCGGCUAACUCCGUGCCAGCAGCCGCUGUAA